UAACGGACACUUGAGGGGCCCACCAACAUGAAGAAAUCACAGAGCCUUCUGCUGAGUCAGUGCCCAGUGAGCAAUCUAGUAACUUCUGAUGUGAGUCAUAAUUUUCUGCAGUCGCAUUGAGGCACAUUAGGACUGAAAGAAGACGA